GGCUUGGUGGUGCGCCGCAGGGGUCGUGCGAUGUCCGUGGGGAGCAGCUUGGUCACUGUCAUCAUCUGAGAAGAGCUCAAAGAAGCUGAAGAACAUGUUGCAAACACUGAGCCAAUUAAAAGUCAUCAUCGAUGGGAUGCAGACAGUGGCAAAGUCCCGGAAAGACACAUAUUGAGUCAAAACGGUUCUGAUGAUUGUAAGGAUAUUUUUCUGACUACAUGAAGCCGUUCUUUUGGCAGCUCUGAUUCAACAGAAAGUGGAGAUUCUCCAAACGAGCGGAUUGCUAGUGUUCUCAUCAUCAACCACUGUCUACGUUUGGCCCAAGGAAGAUCCCUGGACAGAGGAUUUCCAUGAUGAACCAUUAGGGAUGAACAAAGGUAGUACAUGCCUGUCAAUACCUACUAUAGAGCGAUAACUCUUGUUAAAGCAUGAUUUUCUCCUGAAUUGUUCUUCCAGUUCUCCCAAUUUUUUAAACUUGACAGGCUGCUAAAUAGCACCAGUUGGUGUCCUAGCUUGGACCGUUGAUUAAGUUGUAUUAGUGUUUUCUAAACUAGCUGGCAUGAUUGUCAUGGUCGGAGCCAAAUGAU